AUGAUUGUGAAGGUAAUAGAUGGCAGAUGGGAGGUGAUCUACUUUGUUGGCGAGCACAACCAUCUGUUGGUUGACAAGCCAUGUUUGACUAAGUAUUUGCGAUCACACCAAGGGAUCCCUCCAGAAGAAAGGGCCUUCCUUACUCAUCUUCAUAACCGCAAUUUAACUACAGGUCGUAUGAUGCACAUCAUGUCAGAUUUCUAUGGGUCAGAACUUAUUGUACCUUAUGGCACUAAGCACAUUACAGACCUCAAGACGCUCUUGAACAAGGAUGAUACAAAAGGAGAUAUGAUAGAGACAAUUGCUUACUUUAAAGAUCAGCAG
rnacentral:rRNA from 1 species